ensembl:lncRNA
GUGGGAGGGAGUGUCCUUUGACCUCUGCUGUGCCAGAGUGUGUACGGUACUGGAGAAGGGGUUGUAAGAGAAUUGGUUGUGAGCAAGUUUUGGAGCUUUAUUUUGAUUUAGUUCAUUCAGGAAAGGGAAUUGACAUUCAAUUAAUGAGAGGAAAAUUCAACAUUAACUGAAUUUCACACCUUUCACACCAAUGGAAUGGAGCCCAACCCUGGUUGUGAGCUGGAACAAAGGCUGAAUUAAUUACCAAGUGUGCACUGGAACUCCCAAGUUGCCCCACUCCCUCCCUCCCUCCCUCUCUUUCCCCAUCUCUUUCUCUCCCUCUUUGGGUUUACUUCCGUACAGAACAGAGAUGGAGGGCUGCUGGAGUUGAUUUCAUUCUGCCUUUCAAUAAUCAACUGAAAGGAAACAAAUGGAAACAAACAGAAACAAGGGAGAUACACGCA